UCUAUUAUGAUACAUAUUGACGUCACAUUUCACGUUUCCUCAUAAUAUAUUCAGUUUUGCUCCUCUAUUCUCCGUUGAAGAACGUUAAGAAAUGUGUUGGCUUUCACAAAGCUGAAAGGCCAGAGAGGACACUAAUAUACAGAUUGCGUAAGUUUGAGAGCCAGAUUGUUAAACAAAAACCUCAGUGCGAGAAGUAUCCAUAGUGCAUUAAUAUAAGGAUUGAUACCUAAAGUCACGUUUCCGUCGUCAUAACCAUUCCCUUCUCGUCAUUUUUUAAUCCCGCAACUGCAGCCAUCCGGCAUCAGAUAUUAACAUAGACGAUGGUAUUCGUAAUAUUGCUAACCAUAUUAUUUUUUCUUGCCCUGGCAAUCAUCUUGUAUUCGUGGAAGAAAGAGAAAGGAGUGAAGGAGCUAUUCAGGAACGCACGCAAUGCAAUAGAUAAUCAAAGAUGAAGAUAUCUUUGAACACUGUGACACAGGAUGGAGCAAAUUUUGUAUGUCUGAAGGCUGAAUUGAAUUCAAUGUAAUUUGAGAGGUCCAUUCUUAUGACAAUGUUCUGAACUAUACGAAUAUAAAAUG